rnacentral:miRNA from 1 species
CAGCGGGUCUUCUUUCUUCUCA